rnacentral:rRNA from 1 species
AUCUGGGCGGCGGAAUUCAGGACGGUCGGGCGGGUCUCGCGCUCGUCGGGCCGUUUGAUAUUUCCGUCGCCGUGUCAGACGUCGCGACCUGUUCGUCGUCGGUCCUUGCUCGGAGGAAGCGCGAUCGGGUUCGUUGCGGGCGCGCUUCGGUGCGUUCCGCGGCGAAGACGCGACUCUCUGGCUGACGACGGACAGUAAGCAACGGUGUCCGGCGUCGUGUCUCGCACUCGACGUCGGUGCCGGUCAGCGACGAUUUCUUCGGGCCUCUUUCCGACCCGUCUUGAAACACGGACCAAGGAGUCUAACAUGCGCGCGAGUCGCGGGGUUUCGAGCGUGCCACGGUGCGCUCGUUACUUCCGAAACCCGUACGUUGAAGGCGUAAUGAAAGUGAAUAGGGAAGAUGGCGUUCCGAGUCCACGUACCGUGAUCGAGUAUCGCGGCCGGACGUCCGCACUCCCGGGGCGUCUCAAUGGCUCGCCACGAAUGCGGACGGUCGUCUCUCGGGGCGGCCGUCGGUCUGUGGCGGUCCGA